rnacentral:rRNA from 1 species
UACGGGGGGAGCAAGCGUUGUUCGGAUUUACUGGGCGUAAAGGGCGCGUAGGCGGCCAGCACAAGUCAGUUGUGAAAUCUCCGAGCUUAACUCGGAAAGGUCAACUGAUACUGUGCGGCUAGAGUGCGGAAGGGGCAACUGGAAUUCUUGGUGUAGCGGUGAAAUGCGUAGAUAUCAAGAGGAACACCUGCGGCGAAGGCGGGUUGCUGGGCCGACACGUGACGCUGAGGCGCGAAAGCUAGGGGAGCGAACGGG